GUGAGGACUUGGGGGUGGGGGAUUGGGUUGCCAAGUCUGGUUUUUAGAGCAGCAAGUUGAGCAAAGGCAAAAUCAGAACAGCAAAAUUUUAUGCAGAUAAUCAGGAAUAUCGGGAUGUUUCAUUUAAUAGCCAAGUCCUUCAUUCUUCUCACAUUCUUUAUGAACUCUAUAGGAUAUUUACUGGCUUGAAUUGUGAAGCAUUGCACAGGGAGCUGCACUUAUACAAAGUGGUUGUUACAACUUCAGCCCUUCUUUACAGCAUCUUUUGAGAUUUAUCUGGAACAGACCAGCCAAGCUGGAAGUGACUAUUUGGAAGCUGCCUCGUGACUUUCUGCCUGGAUUGCGUGUGAUCCUGGCUCCUGGAGGUCUGGUUUCCAGAGAGCAGCGAGCGGGAGCAUCCACACCUGUGUCGCAGACAGCUGGCACGCUCUGCCCGAGCCACAGCCGCCACCUGUGCCAGCGCCACGCGCCACCGACGUGACU
rnacentral:lncRNA from 1 species